AGUAACUAAAUGUGUCAUGGAGGCUUUCCAGCCACAGAUGUGGUAACUAACAUAAGGUUCACAGUUUUAAAAUGUAAAAUGAGUUACAAUUUUUAACAGAAACCCCAUUAUACAUAUAAAGCUAACAUUAUUUAGCACUUUCUGUAUUGAGCAAAAUUCUAAUACAUGCGUUAAUUAAUUCAAUCUUAUAUCAAUCCUCAUACAGCCUAUAAGUUGUAUACUAGUAUUUAUCCCUAUUUCCUAGUGAGAACCAGAGUUUAAGUUGUUUGCCCAAGGUCAACAGCUAGUAAGUGGUAGAACCUGUUUUGAAUAGAGGCUAUUCAACCCAUGGUGUUAACCAUUCACAAUGCUGUUUUUAAUAUUCUUAAUAAUCAUUAUGUUCUCAAAGGUUGCAUGUCUGCUACAGGAGCAUGCAUUUCAUAUGUUUCCUUAGGCCUAACACUCAGUUACUCUGUCUUGGCUGUGAUUUUCUAAUGUCAUUUUACUAUUAUUUCCAUUUGCAAUUUUUGUUACCUGUUUUUUUACAUUAUAUCCCCAGUUUAACAAAAAGAUCAGUAACUUGAAAGUAGUUUACUGAAAUAUAAAAGAAGAGAUGGAAAUAGUAAAUACUAUUAUUCAGAAUAAUAUAAUUGUAAAUAGUGAACAGGAUUCCAGGGCAAAUAGAGAAUAUGAGUCUCUUGGGCUGGGAUAAGGUAAGUCUAUGAAUGAAAUUUCUCUGAACAAGCAGCUGAAACAGAUAAGGGAAAUCAAUAAAUACAAGAAAUAUAAGAAACUUGGAUUUUAACUGGCAAGCCAUUCUAAGUCUCCCAUUUAUUGUCUUUUCUGAACCAUUUCAAACAGUAAUUUAAAGCCCUUCAAGUUAUAUUAUUUUCGGACAAAGCAGAGUAAAUUCCUGGGAAAAGAAACACAUUUUUCAAGAAAAAGUACGUCGUCCUCGUCAAGGCGGGCAGCGGCAGGCCAGGGGCCUGGAGCCUGGAGGCCCGGCCUGGGAUGCUGCCGGGCGGCCUCUCCCAGCGCCCCCGCGCCCCGCCCGGCCCCUGGCCACCCCGAAGUUCAGGGUGGUUUCUUCUGCGCCGCAGGCCGCUUCCUGAGCUGCAGCCCAGCAGAAGGAGAAGGUGGGUAGGGGUCUUGGCUGCUCAAUCCUGCGAGCCCAGCCUGCCCAGCGUGCCAGGGCGUGGUGGUUACGCGGCCCGGCAUGCCCGGAGCGGUCAGGCUUCCCGUUUUUAAGGUGGAGAUGUCCAGGACCUCUUUAUUAGAUGUUCAGGAAUUUGAGUUUUUACAUCGGGCCACAGUCACCAUGAGCCCCUGUGGGGCGGGCUGGGCUAACUGGGGUUUUGAUUUUCAGUUUCGUAUGGCAGGGGGCAUGUCUGAAGGGGAAGAACGUUCUUGGUGUUGCUUCUUAGUUGUUGGGAGCUGUGAGGUUAGAGAGAGAUGGGCGAUGCUGCUGCCGAGGAUUGGCCUGAGUGAGCUUAGACUAGUUACUCACGGGACUUGGUUUACCAGCCAAGGAGAUAAAAACAUUCAGAUGGUGGAUAACAGUUUUUCAGAUGCUUUUCCUUCAGGUUCCAUGGAGGCUGCUAAAAAUGCAAGUAAUACAGAAAAGCUCACAGAUCAUAUGAUGCAGAAUCCUUGAGUUUGGGCAGCUUUAUAGGAGCGACUAGACAAUGUCCCUUACACCCCUUCCGGCUACAUCGAAACUUUACCUAAAGCAGUAAAAAAAGAAUCAGUGCAUUGAAACAACUUCAGGUGAGAUGUGCCCUUACGGAAGCCAAGUUCUGUGAAGAAGUUUGUGACUCGGAAAGAAAGUGUGCAGCAUUACACCAGCCUCUCUUUGACAAGGGAAGAGAAUUUAUCACCCGUGAUGUUGAACCCCGACGGAUGCGGAAUCAGAAUGGCACAGUGAAAAUGAAGAGGAAGAGGAGUUGGUAGGAGACAUGAGAAAAAAGCAGUCUAGCAGAAGCAGCGUCAGUAACAGCCGAAGAGCCAAAUCCCAAAGGCGUCUGGAGUUCUGGUUUACCAUCGAUAGACAUGUAGCUAUGCUAAGUGAAUUAGUACGGGAAUAUGAUGAACUAAUCUUCAAACACCCGCAGGAUAUUAGAGUGAAGGUUUGUGACCCUGGACAGCCUGUCUUGUGUGAGAGUUCCACUUUGAACCCAGUGACUACUUCACCAAGUCAGUCCUGACAGAAAGCUACAAGAUGAAAUCAGAACCAGAUAAAGGCGAUUGCUUUUCCUUCUGGUGUCCUGUGAUAUUGCUGGAAGAAAGGAAAGCAUGUUACUGGCAAAACUAUCAGGAAAAAACGCAAACAUAAGGGUCGAGACCCUGCUAGAACAAUUACAAAACAAGUACCCAGUGAAUCAUUUUUCACCUUCUUCAAUCCGCUGGAAGCAUCCGGGGAUGGAGAAUCACUGGAUGAAGGUUCUGGAUUCACAUCAGCCUCUGAUUUUGAAAUUGGACACUUUUUCUGUAAGCCAAUGGAUAGUCCCAUGGGCUGUGCUGUACUUCGCUGGGGACGCCAUAGAGGAUGAUGACAGUUUUGAGGAAGGUGAAAAGAAGAGGAGGAAUUACAAGGUGACAAGCGGGGAGCAGAUGAGGAUGAUGAGGGAAUUAACCCCAAGAAGGGACCCAGCUAGCCAGCGGAACGCAAGCAGCAGUAGGAAGCAAAGGCAGGCGCCUGGGCUACCCGCUGUCGCUGUCGGGACUCCAGGCCUGUGUGCGGGGCCUCGAUCUUUGCCGCACCGACAGCUCUUCCAUCUAACAAGUUUUCAAGUGCAAGAUUUUCACUUUCACUUUUUCUUUUUCCUUAUUAUUUUGCUUAACUUGUACAGUGACCACUGAAAUACGUUUCAGAAGUGGGAGGUUUUAUCCAGCACCCUCUGCAGCCUUGGUGCCAGUAGCUCUGGACUUGCCUGGUCCUUUCGCCAUGGGAAGGCCCCAUAGACCACAUUGGGGUGGGGUAGGGGUCACUUGGCAAAAAGGACCGAAGUCUGGUGAUGUGGUUCCAGGAACCUAGAACCUACCACUCCUGCAUUUGGACUGAUUUCUUCCCUUUCAUUUGAAGAAACCGAGUCAUCUGUUUCCAGCCUGCCAAGUGCAGCCUGUGUCACCUGUUGGAUGCUAAUCAUCUCGGAAGGGCUGUGCGGAGUAGGGCCGUGUUCUCCUUAGGACGGUGCUUCUUGAUUUUCUUCUUUUUAGGGGUGUGUUAGGGUUGUGGCACACCAGCUCAGGCGAGAGCUGCCGCGGGUCACCUCCUAUUUAUUUCGCCCUUCUCGCCUGUGAGGACUGCGGUCUUUCACUGUUGCUGGUCUUUACCAUUUCUGAACCACCUUGGUGACCUGAGCAGGAAGAUGUGCCGCUUCCUAGCAGGAGCAAGGCUUGUGCGGACAAAGCGCUGCUCCCUGCCACCCGCUGAAAACACCAGGAGCCUGUCCUGGCGACUCAGGCGCCACCCUGCUGCCGAGCCGGGAUCGGGCGGUCUUCAACAGUGAAGGGCUGGGCUGGCAAGUCCUGCAUUUCAGUUGAGCAUAUAAGCGUCAAAUCCUGCUCCCUCGGUAGUUCCGUUGCUGGGUCCCACCAUUCAUCCUGUCUGAAGGGUUUGGUGUGACCAAUUGGCGGCUGGCGGGUGGGGUUUCUGAGUGGGUGGCGGCGAUCUCUGGCAGCCAGGGAUGGCGGUGUCACACUGACCAGGCCUGUGGAGCGUGCUCAGCUUAACCUUGGAACACAUUUGUGACUGCAUCCAGUGUUUUCAAUUUGUACAGAAUAGUUAGAAUAUGCUAUUAAAGUUGGGAAAC